rnacentral:rRNA from 1 species
GUGGCGAACGGGUGAGUAACACGUGAGCAAUCUGCCCUUGACUCUGGGAUAACUGCGGGAAACUGUAGCUAAUACCGGAUACUUUCCUCGCUGGGCAUCCAGCGGGGAAGAAAGAAUUUCGGUCAAGGAUGAGCUCGCGGCCUAUCAGCUAGUUGGUGAGGUAAAGGCUCACCAAGGCGACGACGGGUAGCCGGCCUGAGAGGGUGACCGGCCACACUGGGACUGAGACACGGUCCAGACUCCUACGGGAGGCAGCAGUGGGGAAUAUUGCACAAUGGGCGAAAGCCUGAUGCAGCAACGCCGCGUGAGGGAUGAAGGCCUUCGGGUUGUAAACCUCUUUUAGCAGGGAAGAAGCGAAAGUGACGGUACCUGCAGAAAAAGCACCGGCUAAUUACGUGCCAGCAGCCGCGGUAAUACGUAGGGUGCAAGCGUUGUCCGGAAUUAUUGGGCGUAAAGAGCUCGUAGGCGGUUUGUCACGUCUGCUGUGAAAAUCCGAGGCUCAACCUCGGACUUGCAGUGGGUACGGGCAGGCUAGAGUGCGGUAGGGGAGAAGGGAAUUCCUGGUGUAGCGGUGGAAUGCGCAGAUAUCAGGAGGAACACCAAUGGCGAAGGCACUUCUCUGGGCCGUAACUGACGCUGAGGAGCGAAAGCGUGGGGAGCGAACAGGAUUAGAUACCCUGGUAGUCCAC